rnacentral:rRNA from 1 species
ACUCAAAGGAAUAGACGGGGACCCGCACAAGCAGCGGAGCAUGUGGUUUAAUUCGAAGAUACGCGAAAAACCUUACCAGGACUUGACAUCCCUUGCAUAGCCAUGAAAGUGGUGAAUGUAUAGCAAUAUAUCAAGGUGACAGAUGGUGCAUGGUUGUCGUCAGCUCGUGUCGUGAGAUGUUCGGUUAAGUCCGUCAACGAGCGCAACCCCUGUGAUUAGUUGCCAGCAUUAAGUUGGGCACUCUGGUCAGACUGCCGUAGUUAAUACGGAGGAAGGUGGGGACGACGUCAAAUCAUCAUGCCUCUUACGUUCUGGGCUACACACGUGCUACAAUGGUGACUACAAACAGUUCCGAAGUGGUAACACGGGGGCAAUCUGAAAAAAGUCAUCUCAAUUCGGAUUGUGGGCUGCAACUCGCCCACAUGAAGUCGGAGUUGCUAGUAAUCCCGAAUCAGAAUGUCGGGGUGAAUGCGUUCCCGGGUCUUGUACACACCGCCCGU